CUGAUGGUCAUCACCAGGGCAGGGGGUCAUUGAGUCAAUGCAGUUGGUCCUGAGGCAGCCAAUGUGCCACUUGUCUGGCUUUGCUGCUGUUCUGGGCCUGGAGCUGAAAUACAACUGAGGCCUGGAUGUUAUAUUUAGGGAGGAAAAGGUCUGGGAGGCCUAAACUGCCUUAUCAGUGAUAUGAAAGAUCUGGGGUCCAAAGCUCAUGACCAGUGGUAUGCUAGGGGAGGACAGGUUACCCUGGGGCCGAG